rnacentral:misc_RNA from 1 species
UCUCCGUUGGUGAACCGGCGGAGGGAUCAUUACCGAGUUAUCAACUCCCAAACCCCUGUGAACAUACCCAACGUUGCUUCGGCGGGACCGCCCCGGCGCCCUCGGCGUCCCGGAACCAGGCGCCCGCCGGAGGACCCAAACUCUUGUUUAAACCAUAGUGGCAUAUUCUGAGUCUCACAAGAAAAAUGAAUCAAAACUUUCAACAACGGAUCUCUUGGCUCUG